UUCCGGUUGAUCCCGCCGGACCUGACUGCUAUCGGAUUGAUACUAAGCCAUGCGAGUCUUUGUAGCAAUACAAGGCAGACGGCUCAGUAACGCGUAGUCAACCUACCCUAUGGACGGGAAUAACCUCGGGAAACUGAGUAUAAUGCCCGAUAGAACAUUAUGCCUGGAAUGGUUUAUGUUCCAAAUGAUUUAUCGCCAUAGGAUGGGACUGCGGCCUAUCAGUUUGUUGGUGAGGUAAUGGCCCACCAAGACUAUUACAGGUACGGGCUCUGAGAGGAGUGGCCCGGAGAUGGGUACUGAGACACGGACCCAGGCCCUAUGGGGCGCAGCAGGCGAGAAAACUUUGCAAUGUGCGAAAGCACGACAAGGUUAAUCCGAGUGGUUUCUGCUAAAGGAACCUUUUGUCAGUCCUAGAAACACUGAUGAAUAAGGGGUGGGCAAGUUCUGGUGUCAGCCGCCGCGGUAAAACCAGCACCUCAAGUGGUCAGGAUGAUUAUUGGGCCUAAAGCAUCCGUAGCCUGCUUUGUUAGUUUUCGGUUAAAUCCAUACGCUUAACGUAUGGGCUGCCGGGAAUACUGCAAAGCUAGGGAGUGGGAGAGGUAGACGGUACUCGGUAGGAAGGGGUAAAAUCCUUUGAUCUAUUGAUGACCACCUGUGGCGAAGGCGGUCUACCAGAACACGUCCGACGGUGAGGGAUGAAAGCUGGGGGAGCAAACCGGAUUAGAUACCCGGGUAGUCCCAGCUGUAAACUAUGCAAACUCGGUGAUGCAUUGGCUUGAUGCCAAUGCAGUGCCGCAGGAAAGCCGUUAAGUUUGCCGCCUGGGAAGUACGUACGCAAGUAUGAACUUAAGGAAUUGGCGGGGGAGCACACAAGGUGAAGCCUGCGUUCAAUUGGAUUCACGCCGGGA
rnacentral:rRNA from 1 species